UCCAUGCUUCAUUGCAUGGUCACUGGCUCACUGCUGAUCACUAUUUAGAAGGUAUCAUAUCCAUAGGAUACCAUAAGGACUCUAUAGAUUUCUGCAUUUUUCACCUGUAUUGUGACUUCUGAGGUCCUCCAUGUGUGCAUGAAGUUGCCGAUUCCUCUUUUUUUUUCAUAUGAAUGCUUCCCUUUUGAGCUCUUCGUAAUCUGAGUUACCAGAUUCACGAGGCUGACUUUAUGCCCUUAUUUCACGCCUCAUUGAUGUUUGGAAGCCCACGUAUGAACCUAUUCGGCCAAUGAUCUAGGCCUAUCACUCUUUUGGAUAGACAUUAUUAUCUAAGACGCACCCCUGAUGAAGUCUAGUUCCUAGACGAAACGCGUUGGGUUACUGUAUUUCUUGUUGAUGUUAUCUCCGAAUAUUUAAUGAGGAAGAAUAAGGAUACAACAGAAAGGUUGCCUUCUUUCCUCCAUAUCCCAUUGAUGGAUUUCUGUAGGAGAAACUACAUCAUAAUGUACAUGUAAUAAUGAUGGAUAUACUUCAUGUUUCUGUAUAAUUGUUUUAAUAAAUUUUUAUGAAAAGUA